rnacentral:rRNA from 1 species
AAACAUGUCUUUUUGGGAAUAAUUUAAAGUCUAAUCUGCCCACUGAUNAAAUUAUUAAAGGGCUGCAGUAUUUUGACUGUACAAAGGUAGCAUAAUCAUUAGUCUCUUAAUUGGUGACUUGUAUGAAGGAUUGGAUGAGAUAUAUACUGUCUCUAAUUAAUUUAUAAAAUUUAAUUUUUUAGUAAAAAAGCUAAAAUAAUUUUAAAAGACGAGAAGACCCUAUAGAGUUUAAUAGUUUAUUUAAUUAUUAUUAAUUUGUAAAUUUUAAAAUUAAAAUUAAAUGAAUUAUUUUAUUGGGGUGAUAGAAAAAUUAAAUUAACUUUUUUUUUAUAUUAAACAUUAAUUUAUGAUUAUAUGAUCCAUUAUUAUUGAUUAUAAGAAAAAAUUACCUUAGGGAUAACAGCGUAAUUUUUUUUUUUAGUUCAAAUAGGAAAAAAAGUUUGCGACCUCGAUGUUGGAUUAAGAUAAAAUUUAAAUGCAAAAGUUUAAAAUUUUGAUCUGUUCGAUCAUUAAAAUCU